CACGUAGUUAGCCGUCCCUUUCUGGUAAGAUACCGUCACAGUGUGAACUUUCCACUCUCACACUCGUUCUUCUCUUACAACAGAGCUUUACGAUCCGAAAACCUUCUUCACUCACGCGGCGUUGCUCGGUCAGACUUCCGUCCAUUGCCGAAGAUUCCCUACUGCUGCCUCCCGUAGGAGUCUGGGCCGUGUCUCAGUCCCAGUGUGGCCGAUCACCCUCUCAGGUCGGCUAUGUAUCGUCGCCUUGGUGAGCCGUUACCUCACCAACUAGCUAAUACAACGCAGGUCCAUCUGGUAGUGGAGCAAUUGCCCCUUUCAAGCAGAUAUCAUGCAAUAUCUACUGUUAUGCGGUAUUAGCUAUCGUUUCCAAUAGUUAUCCCCCGCUACCAGGCAGGUUACCUACGCGUUACUCACCCGUUCGCAACUCAUCCGGAAAGAGCAAGCUCCUUCCUUCAGCGUUCUACUUGCAUGUAUUAGGCACGCCGCCAGCGUUCA
rnacentral:rRNA from 1 species